rnacentral:tRNA from 1 species
GGCGGCCACCGCCGGCGCGGGGUCGCUGGCACUGCGCCUGCCGGUGCGUAGGCCGUUCGCCUACGAAGGGGUGUUCGGGCACCUGGCGGCCA